rnacentral:rRNA from 1 species
UAGCUCCUACGGGGGGCAGCAGUAGGGAAUAUUGCUCAAUGGGGGAAACCCUGAAGCAGCAGCGCCGCGUGGAGGAUGAAGGUUUUAGGAUUGUAAACUCCUUUUGUGAGAGAAGAUAAUGACGGUAUCUCACGAAUAAGCACCGGCUAACUCCGUGCCAGCAGCCGCGGUAAUACGGAGGGUGCAAGCGUUACUCGGAAUCGCUGGGCGUAAAGAGUGCGCAGGCGGGCUUGUAAGUCAGAUGUGAAAUCCUGUAGCUUAACUACAGUACUGCAUUUGAAACUAUGCGUCUAGAGUGUGGGAGG